AAUGAACGUUGGCGGCGUGGAUUAGGCAUGCAAGUCGAGCGAGAACCGUAGCAAUACGGGGACAGCGGCGAAAGGGAGAGUAAUACGUGGAUACCUACCCUCGGGUUCGGGAUAGCUGCGGGAAACUGCAGGUAAUACCGAAUAACAUCUCCGGAUCAAAGGUGUGAUUCCGCCCGGGGAGGGGUCCGCGUCCUAUUAGCUUGUUGGUGAGGUAACGGCUCACCAAGGCGAAGAUGGGUACGGGGUGUGAGAGCAUGCCCCCGCUCACUGGGACUGAGACACUGCCCAGACACCUACGGGUGGCUGCAGGCGAGAAUCUUCGGCAAUGGGCGCAAGCCUGACCGAGCGAGGCCGCGUGCGAGAUGAAGGCCUUCGGGUUGUAAAUCGCUGUCAGUGGGGAGGAAAUGCCAUAGGGUCCUCUCUAUGGUUUGACCUAUCCGCAGAGGAAGGAUGGGCUAAGUUCGUGCCAGCCGCCGCGGUAA
rnacentral:rRNA from 1 species